rnacentral:rRNA from 1 species
ACCUUCGGGCCUCUUGCCAUCGGAUGUGCCCAGAUGGGAUUAGCUAGUGGGUGGGGUAACGGCUCACCUAGGCGACGAUCCCUAGCUGGUCUGAGAGGAUGACCAGCCACACUGGAACUGAGACACGGUCCAGACUCCUACGGGAGGCAGCAGUGGGGAAUAUUGCACAAUGGGCGCAAGCCUGAUGCAGCCAUGCCGCGUGUAUGAAGAAGGCCUUCGGGUUGUAAAGUACUUUCAGCGGGGAGGAAGGGAGUAAAGUUAAUACCUUUGCUCAUUGACGUUACCCGCAGAAGAAGCACCGGCUAACUCCGUGCCAGCAGCCGCGGUAAUACAGAGGGUGCAAGCGUUAAUCGGAAUUACUGGGCGUAAAGCGCACGCAGGCGGUUUGUUAAGUCAGAUGUGAAAUCCCCGGGCUCAACCUGGGAACUGCAUCUGAUACUGGCAAGCUUGAG